rnacentral:misc_RNA from 1 species
GAGUUCAUGCCCUCACGGGUAGACCUCCCACCCUUUGUAUACCUUACCUUUUGUUGCUUUGGCGGGCCGCCUAGCUACUGGCUUCGGCUGGUAAGUGCCCGCCAGAGGACCCAAACCCAAACCCAUUUAUAGUGUCGUCUGAGAAAAAGUUUAAUAUUUAAAACUUUCAACAACGGAUCUCUUGGCUCU